UACGGAGGGUGCGAGCGUUGUCCGGAAUCACUGGGCGUAAAGGGCGCGUAGGCGGCUCAUGAAGGCUGUGGUGAAAGUCCGGGGCUCAACCUCGGAUCGGCCGUGGCGACUCGUGGGCUGGAGCACUGUAGAGGCGGGUGGAAUUCCGGGUGUAGCGGUGGAAUGCGUAGAGAUCCGGAAGAACACCAGUGGCGAAGGCGGCCCGCUGGGCAGUGGCUGACGCUGAUGCACGAAAGUGUGGGGAUCAAACAGG
rnacentral:rRNA from 1 species